rnacentral:rRNA from 1 species
UGAACGCUAGCGGCAGGCCUAACACAUGCAAGUCGAGCGGAUGACAGGAGCUUGCUCCUGAAUUCAGCGGCGGACGGGUGAGUAAUGCCUAGGAAUCUGCCUGGUAGUGGGGGACAACGUCUCGAAAGGGACGCUAAUACCGCAUACGUCCUACGGGAGAAAGCAGGGGACCUUCGGGCCUUGCGCUAUCAGAUGAGCCUAGGUCGGAUUAGCUAGUUGGUGAGGUAAUGGCUCACCAAGGCGACGAUCCGUAACUGGUCUGAGAGGAUGAUCAGUCACACCGGAACUGAGACACGGUCCAGACUGCUACGGGAGGCAGCAGUGGGGAAUAUUGCACAAUGGGCGCAAGCCUGAUGCAGCCAUGCCGCGUGAAUGAUGAAGGCCUUAGGGUUGUAAAAUUCUUUCAGCAGGGAAGAUAAUGACGGUACCUGCAGAAGAAGCCCCGGCUAACUCCGUGCCAGCAGCCGCGGUAAUACGGAG